GCGCGAUCACCCUCUCGUCUUGAGACCACAUGGCGCGACGAGCCUCAAAACCGUCACGAAGCGUGAACUCUUGACGAGAAGGUGCACUUCCGUGUCCGCUGGUUAACAUCAAUUUCGAACGUCAUAAAAAGGCUGGAGGGAUGUGGCUCCUUCGGGAGUGUUAUAACCUUUAGCGGAAUGUGGCGUUCGGGAUUGAGGAUUGCAACGGAUACCCUUCGGGGCUACCUGUCUGAUCUCUGAUUGUUGCUCUGGUACCGAAAGCUUGCUUACGGUUAUCAAAGUCGAUGGUCAAUAGGUUAGAACGGGUUAAAUUCGUUAAGGAUGUUGACGUA
rnacentral:rRNA from 1 species